GACGAACGCUGGCGGCGUGCCUAAUACAUGCAAGUCGAACGAACCGCGACUGAGUGCUUGCACUUGGUCAAGGUGAGUGGCGAACGGGUGAGUAACACGUGGGUAACCUACCUCAUAGUGGGGGAUAACAGUCGGAAACGACUGCUAAUACCGCAUAGGACAUGGGAUCACAUGAUUCCGUGAGGAAAGGUGGCGCAAGCUAUCGCUAAGAGAUGGACCCGCGGUGCAUUAGCUAGUUGGUAGGGUAACGGCCUACCAAGGCGAUGAUGCAUAGCCGACCUGAGAGGGUGAUCGGCCACAUUGGGACUGAGACACGGCCCAAACUCCUACGGGAGGCAGCAGUAGGGAAUCUUCCGCAAUGGACGCAAGUCUGACGGAGCAACGCCGCGUGAGUGAAGAAGGUCUUCGGAUCGUAAAGCUCUGUUGUUAGAGAAGAACAGCGCAUAGAGUAACUGUUAUGCGUGUGACGGUAUCUAACCAGAAAGCCACGGCUAACUACGUGCCAGCAGCCGCGGUAAUACGUAGGUGGCGAGCGUUGUCCGGAUUUAUUGGGCGUAAAGGGAGUGUAGGCGGUCUUUUAAGUCUGAUGUGAAAGCCCACGGCUCAACCGUGGAGGGUCAUUGGAAACUGGGAGACUUGAGUGCAGAAGAGGAGAGCGGAAUUCCAUGUGUAGCGGUGAAAUGCGUAGAUAUAUGGAGGAACACCAGUGGCGAAGGCGGCUCUCUGGUCUGUAACUGACGCUGAGGCUCGAAAGCGUGGGGAGCGAACAGGCUUAGAUACCCUGGUAGUCCACGCUGUAAACGGUGGGUACUAGGUGUGGGGUCCAUUCCACGGGUUCCGUGCCGUAGCUAACGCUUUAAGUACCCCGCCUGGGGAGUACGGCCGCAAGGCUAAAACUCAAAGGAAUUGACGGGGCCCCGCACAAGCGGCGGAGCAUGCGGAUUAAUUCGAUGCAACGCGUAGAACCUUACCUGGGUUUGACAUGGAUCGGGAGUGCUCAGAGAUGGGUGUGCCUCUUUUGGGGUCGGUUCACAGGUGGUGCAUGGCUGUCGUCAGCUCGUGUCGUGAGAUGUUGGGUUAAGUCCCGCAACGAGCGCAACCCUUGUUCACUGUUGCCAGCACGUUAUGGUGGGGACUCAGUGGAGACCGCCGGGGUCAACUCGGAGGAAGGUGGGGAUGACGUCAAGUCAUCAUGCCCCUUAUGUCCAGGGCUUCACGCAUGCUACAAUGGCUGGUACAGAGAGUGGCGAGCCUGUGAGGGUGAGCGAAUCUCGGAAAGCCGGUCUCAGUUCGGAUUGGGGUCUGCAACUCGACCUCAUGAAGUCGGAGUCGCUAGUAAUCGCAGAUCAGCAACGCUGCGGUGAAUACGUUCCCGGGGCU
rnacentral:rRNA from 1 species